rnacentral:rRNA from 1 species
UGGGGAAUAUUGCACAAUGGGCGAAAGCCUGAUGCAGCAACGCCGCGUGAGUGAUGAAGGUCUUCGGAUUGUAAAGCUCUGUCUUUUGGGACGAUAAUGACGGUACCAAAGGAGGAAGCCACGGCUAACUACGUGCCAGCAGCCGCGGUAAUACGUAGGUGGCGAGCGUUGUCCGGAUUUACUGGGCGUAAAGGGUGCGUAGGCGGAUGUUUAAGUGAGAUGUGAAAUACCCGGGCUUAACUUGGGUGCUGCAUUUCAAACUGGAUAUCUAGAGUGCAGGAGAGGAGAAUGGAAUUCCUAGUGUAGCGGUGAAAUGCGUAGAGAUUAGGAAGAACACCAGUGGCGAAGGCGAUUCUCUGGACUGUAACUGACGCUGAGGCACGAAAGCGUGGGUAGCAAACAGGAUUAGAUACCCUGGUAGUCCACGCCGUAAACGAUGAGUACUAGGUGUAGGAG